rnacentral:rRNA from 1 species
UGGGGAAUAUUGCACAAUGGGCGCAAGCCUGAUGCAGCCAUGCCGCGUGUAUGAAGAAGGCCUUCGGGUUGUAAAGUACUUUCAGCGGGGAGGAAGGUGUUGUGGUUAAUAACCACAGCAAUUGACGUUACCCGCAGAAGAAGCACCGGCUAACUCCGUGCCAGCAGCCGCGGUAAUACGGAGGGGGCAAGCGUUAAGCGGAAUUACUGGGCGUAAAGCGCACGCAGGCGGUCUGUCAAGUCGGAUGUGAAAUCCCCGGGCUCAACCUGGGAACUGCAUCCGAAACUGGCAGGCUUGAGUCUUGUAGAGGGGGGUAGAAUUCCAGGUGUAGCGGUGAAAUGCGUAGAGAUCUGGAGGAAUACCGGUGGCGAAGGCGGCCCCCUGGACAAAGACUGACGCUCAGGUGCGAAAGCGUGGGGAGCAAACA